CUUUCCAACUCCCCGCGCCUCUUUGUCUUACAAACUACACCUCUUAUUUUGACGUGUCCUCUUAAUUAGGGUUCUGCUUCAUCUCUUUUUACAAUGAAAUUCAACUAUCGAGUACAGAGAAGAAACCAGACGAACUUCUUGACCCAGUUGAUCAAAGGCUGCACAGAUUUCAGUGAAAACACAAAGAUGUGAUGAUACGUGGUGCACAUCUUUCCCCUUUUCUUAACUUUAAGGUUGAAUCCUGAGGAAAUAUUGGCUGAAGCAGAAUUCCUACAAGCUUUCAUUGUUAUAUUUGGAGUUACAUUCAUCGGCUACAGUGAUCUGGUGAAAUGUGCUUCCAUCUAGGUACAUGGAGAAUGGAAUUCUUAAGGAUCAUCUUAUGGAUCAGACGUUCUGAAUCUGGAUUGGACAUAAGGGCAUGAAAUUUGCAUAGGAUCAACAAAAGUACUUUACUAUCUUCAUACUGGUUUUCAUAAGGCAAUUAUCCACUGAUAUGUCAAGUCGUUGAACAUACUUCUUGACGAAAAUCUCUGGGCUAAAGUUUCGGAUUUUGAAUUAUAAAAAAUUGGUCCGGAAAUUGAUGAAACACAUGUUAGUAUUGCAGUGAAAGAAAGUUUCAGAUAUCUUUAUCAGGAGUAUUUGACAAGGCAACAAAAUGUAUAUAUAUAUAUAUAUAUAGACUGGGAAUAGCACAGGCUGAGUUGGCACCUCUCUAAGGCCUGGAUUCCUAUUUAUCUUUUUUGUGGUUUUUUUUGCAUUUUCCCUUAAAUAUUUCAUUCUCCUUAAUACACACCAAAGGUCAACAGUCACGACUAAUUAAAGCCACUAACAGUCAUUUCAGUCCCCUAAUCCAUCAAUUGGAAAACCCAAAGACCUCUUUAACUUGCCUGCAUUUCCAACACAACGACGAAGAAGAAAUCAAUGGUUCUGCAAAAGUUCUUUCCAUUCUCUCUCGGUCGAAGCCGCUGCAAGAGUUUUCUCUCCACUGAUACGCAAAUAGUGUCAUCCCCGUGUCCUAAUCUAAUAGAAAGAAAGUUUUUCUCUUUAACCUUCUUGGUUCAUCUUCUUUGAAUAGUUAUAUACUCCAUUGGUUGCGCCAAAUAAGUGACUAAUUUAGAUUCACUUAGUUGAUCUUGAAUUUGGUAACUUCUACUUUUAAUUCGAUCAAGAACUAACAAGUGUAUUACUUAGAAUUCCUGGAAUCUGAUAUUCUCACUUUGUGUUUCUCUUUUUUGACUUUGAAAAGUGGUUAAUUUAUGGGAAUAAUUGCAGGUAUCAUAGACAUCUUUGUAAUUUCGUUGCAAGUUUUUACACUUGAAGAUUGGAGUUUACUUCCUCGGUCCGGUUGUUAUAUUAUUAGCUUUUAAAUUGCAUUCAUAUGAUCCAAUGCAAGGUUGUGCAAAUAAUUUCUUGUUUUUUAAGUUUUUUAUCCUUCUUUCUUCUCUUUUCUCUUUGCAUAGUGUCAGUUUGUAUUUUUGUAUUGUUUAAUGUUCUUAUUUCAUUUUCUUGGCAGAAAGUUGAAAUAAAAUAUAAUGAAAUGUUAACUGAACUUAGAAUUGGAUCUGCGCGAGAACCCAGUAUAUGAUUUGGGAGUUAGAGUUCAAACUCCCAAAAAUAUGAGGAAAACGAUGUUUACGGGCAAUUAUUACACAACUUAAUAAUUCAAGGUUUAUUGGUAGAACCUUUCAACUUCUUAAUAUUAUUCAGCCUAUUUGAACUAUUUUAGGGAAAUUAUUGUUUGCUGGGCAGCUUGGGCUAUUAUUUUCAUUCAUUUAUAGUAUGAGAAAAUAAAAGUAGGAGUUACAGUGAUCCACAUAAAUACAUAGAUGAAUAUGGUCCUUUUUAAUUCAGUAAUGCCUUUGUACUUUAGCCUGUAUAUGCACAUUUAUGUGGCUCACUGAUAAAUUAUGAGUUCACUUUUUCUCCCCUGUGUCAAGUUUAGAUAUUCUUUAAGAUUUGGUUAGCAUGAUCUGAUGCUCCUUUCUCAAAAUAUCCUCCAAUUCAAUGAAGGUACAUUAAUUAGGAUAGCUACAACCACAUUUUUGUUUCUGGUGGAGCCACUUUAAAGUUUAAUCAUACUUACAUUACAUAUUUUAUAUUUCUCAGCUGUUGCUAAUGAUAUUGCAAGAUGCAACUCCCAACCUUGAUUACGAUAGACUAUGAGAGGAACAAAGCAUUCUCUAAGGCACUUUUUAAAUACUUGACUCUUGACUGAUAAUGUUGUUGACGUUAGUGUUUCCAUUACUUUUACUCCUUGCUUCAAUUUUGUUGCUUGUGGAAAUCCUAGCAUUUAUCAGAGAGUUUAAUUAAGUAUUCAACUGCUAUUCGACGGUUCAUCUAAUAGAAAAAUUUUCCAUUUGAUAUGUGUUACUUUCUGAUGUUUUUUGUCGAAUACUUCAGCAAAAGAAGGCAUAGGAUGACUACAAUGUUAUGAGAUGCGGUUAAACAGAGGUUAUUUUCAUACUUCUUAAAUUUCUUUGCAUUGUGCUUAUGGAGUUGUAAUAGAACAUCAGAACGAUCACCUCCAAGAAGUAAAUUGCCAAAUUUACAGCUACCGAUGAAGUUUCAUGGCCAUGUGAAGAGCAAAAUUAGUAGCUAAUCAAGAAUUUUGAUUUUUUCAUAACCCUUCCAAGUAGUAAGUCGCUUUAUUUCCUUUCAUUCCUACAGAAUGCAUCUGCUGACUAUUGUUUGCUAUCCAG